CUGACAUCACUGGUGUCGUCCACUACACCACCACCAAUGGACAUGGGCCCGGUGCGAACAGAGGAGGAGGAGCCCAGCUUUAUAGAACAAUACAUCUACGGCAUUUCGUACCAGUUGUAUAACGUUUUCGGCUGCCUGCUGUGCGUCAUCGUGGGAUCCGUCGUCAGUCUUAUUACAGGAUGUAAUCGACGGAAGGUUUCCAAAUCGCUGAUGAAUCCUAUCACCUACAAGCUCUUAAACGGG